GUCCGUAUAACCACUGUUACAGCGAAGCAGAAUUACACAGCGCCACGAAGCUCUCUAAAAAUAGCUGCAAACCCGGCUCCGUGCUCCCAGCGGCUGCGCACCGGCAGGCAGGGCAGAGCCCGGAGCGCGGCCCGUGAGGGGCGGCGGGCGCGGGCCCCUCCCGGCGCUGGAAUGCGGAGCCGUAACCCGAGCCGCCCGCCCCUCCUCCCGCACCCGGCCUCAAAAUGGCAUCCCGGCACGGCCCGCCGGCAACCCGCCCCGCCGGGCCCUCCUGGAGCAGGCAGCACAAGGAAAAGCCUUUCUCGGGCUCCGGCAGCCGAGGGAAGCGCCGCUGCCCGGCCUCCUUCGGGCCACCUCUGCCAUCACUCACAACUCACCCGAACUGCCUUACACACGAGCCCGUCUCACUCGGGAACAAGGAACUGGUCGUGUUUUGGUCUCAAGACCUAUUAUUGGGAUAUUUCACACAACUACGUAUAAAGAAAAUUAAGCCAGUGCUAAAACUACAAAGUAAUCCUAAAGGUUUCAACAGGGGUUAAAGCUACUGUGCUAAAAAUAACAAGAUGUAUGCAUAUUUUACCAAGGAUUCUGUUUUCCAAAAGAGCAGACAGAAAACACCACAGUGAUGUUUUACAAGGACAUUCACAAAUACCUUCAAGUACUUCAGUACAGGUUUCAUGCCAGCAAAGAUUACAAGCAGUCACUGUGGAAGGGAGAGGGAACCAAGGAGAAAAACAAAAAACAAAACCAACCAAAAAUCCAAACUCACGCUGCCAUUGCAAAUUAAUUUUAACAAAUGAAAAGUAACAUCAGGAAAUAUACUGCUUAUAACAGUUUUAGUAUUUCCCCAGUCACAGUCUUUGAAAACUACAGACCACAUAUCACAGAAACAUACAGACAUGUUGAAAUGGUAGUGAAGAAGAGACACAAAGAUAACAGAAAGUACUGUUACAAAGCACUUUGGAAGUGGAAAAUGUCCUUUAACUUCUUUUUGUACUUCUCUUGGAUGCAGGAGUAACACAGAACCUGAGAGAUGUCAUUCUAAACAAAAUGUCCUUUUGAACACACUUGCCUUCCUUUGAGAAACAUGACUGUGAACAUUACUAGCUGCUCUAGCAAGUGCCACUGUAUUCACUGAUCUCUCUAACAUACCAUGGACAAGCACUGAGCUCUAACUGUGUGCCUGGCCAAAGGAAGCUGUGCCAGUCACUGCUUCCAGGAGAAGAGAAUCUUCUGAAAGAUGUAUCCAAAUUAAUGGUUUAAAAAAAAUAACUUUAAAGUACACAUUUAUAAACUUGCAUUCUAAGUUAAAAUGAAAAACUCAACAGUAUUGGCAAAUUUCUUUGCAUGAGACUUAAAUAUUUCCUAGUAUACAUUUCUAGUAUACCUUCCAAAGCACAAAUCAUGGAUGAUACUACUUCCUGCUGAAGAGAAAACUCAGUGCAGAAGAAUAGCAUUUGUCAAAUCCAGCAUUUUCAAAAAAGAAGUGAAUUUGCAACAAGCAGUUUAAGCAGAAUCUGUUUUUUACUACAGCGUAAUGGGUUCUGUAGGUGGAGAAGCGUGCACUGCAGACAUACUAAUAUAUAAAUGUGUGGCUGCAUCAGUACUCCUAUGAGCCUGUCAGACAUUUCAUCACUAUAUUUUUAGAUUAUUCUCUCAUACCAAUUGCACUGUUAGAGUGGCAUUUAAUUCCAUUGUGUUCAUUGUCAAAAACUUAAUCUUCUGCUUCAACUACAGCAGUUCUUUGAAAAAAUACAUUUUUAGAGACUGUAGUUAAUUCUCAAAUAUAUUUUCCCAGUCAUAGCCAUGAGCCAGCUUAGUGUAAUACAGAAAAGAGCACCCACAUUUCACUUUCUAGAUGCUAUGUCACCUCAUGCUCCUUUUGACCAACUCUGAAAAAAUCCUUGGAUUUGGGAAUAGCACACCUGUUUUUAUAUCUGAGCCUGCUAUACAAAGAUUUUAUUGUGCUUUCUCUCUGUUCUAAUAAAGCCUGGAUUAAUGAGGAGAACAGAAGAAAAAUCUUGGCUGAAUUGAUCUACUCUGCCCUGGCAGUGAUGCCAAACACACAUUUGUGGUAUUUCUAGUUCUUAAACUCAGGUGAUUCUUUCAUCUCAAAUUUUUCUCUUCAUUCAGGGAAAAAAACCAAGUAAUCACACAUCAAAAAAAUUGCAUUAUGAGCAACAGACAUAGGAAAGCCUGGUUUUCUACAGAUUUGUUCUAUUUUGGUCUAUAUCUUCUCCCAGUGUAAUUGCUCCAGCUCACUAUAUAUCCUGUAUGAUUUCACUCUCCUUAGCAAUAGAUCCAUUUCCCCACUCACACACAUAUUCCUCUGACCACAGUUGUCUCUCCCUUCCCUCCCACAUCCUCUGGUGCCAAACAGCGUCUUGCUGGCUGGACAGUAAUGUGCAUAUUGACCUCCCUCUUACCAGGCAGAACAAGUUUACUGAACACUUCUGAUUGUAACAUCCUUCACCUCUGGGGACAUUAACACAGCUCAAGACCUUUGAAACAAACAGCGUGACAUCCACUCCAUAAUCUGACUAGACAUCUAAUCUUCAAACCUGCUGAUACAUGAAGCUUGUCUUUGAAGUUCUAGGUGUUAGGAGUUUGCCAAACUCCAAAACUUUACAGACUACAUCAGAGGCAGAAAAAUUUAACAGAACUACUAAACAAAGGACUCAACUGCAAAAGAGCAAAGACAAACACGGGGAUGGGAAGGUAAAGAUUCUAACCAAUUAAUUUUUGCUUUGUGGAGUGAGAAUAUAGUCAAUAUAACUAAGAAGUUACACAGGAUCACCAA